GGGGGUGUCCUGGGUUCGACGGGAAUGCUGAGCGUGGGGUUGCAUGUGGAGUUUCAGUUAACUCCUUAAACUGACUGAAUCUUAAAUAGACGCCGAUAAUAGCGACUACGCUCUGGCUGCUUAGCCAGUGUCCGGCCGGCUGACUUCCACUAAGUUGGACCCGGGCAUCAUCGCAGUGGGAUAGAAUGGUAGAAGGUUUCCGGUUACCGUUCGAAUUCAAAGGGAAAAUCGCCGACUUCAGAUCCCGAGCGGAGGAGCUGGAAUUCGGUUAAAUUAAAAUCCGUCUAAACAUGUAGAGACUUCGACGUAAAGGUUUUCGGACGCGAGUUCGAUUCUCGCCACCUCCACCA
rnacentral:tmRNA from 1 species